AAUAUGUUGGCAGACUAGUGCACUUGAUUUAGGCUCAAAAAAUGAAAUUAUAUUUCACAUAUUA
rnacentral:tRNA from 1 species